UGUGAGCUCGAUGAGUAGGGCGGGACACGUGGUAUCCUGUCUGAAUAUGGGGGGACCAUCCUCCAAGGCUAAAUACUCCUGACUGACCGAUAGUGAACCAGUACCGUGAGGGAAAGGCGAAAAGAACCCCGGCGAGGGGAGUGAAAAAGAACCUGAAACCGUGUACGUACAAGCAGUGGGAGCCUCUUAAUGGGGUGACUGCGUACCUUUUGUAUAAUGGGUCAGCGACUUAUAUUCUGUAGCAAGGUUAACCGAAUAGGGGAGCCGAAGGGAAACCGAGUCUUAACUGGGCGUUAAGUUGCAGGGUAUAGACCCGAAACCCGGUGAUCUAGCCAUGGGCAGGUUGAAGGUUGGGUAACACUAACUGGAGGACCGAACCGACUAAUGUUGAAAAAUUAGCGGAUGACUUGUGGCUGGGGGUGAAAGGCCAAUCAAACCGGGAGAUAGCUGGUUCUCCCCGAAAGCUAUUUAGGUAGCGCCUCGUGAAUUCAUCUCCGGGGGUAGAGCACUGUUUCGGCAAGGGGGUCAUCCCGACUUACCAACCCGAUGCAAACUGCGAAUACCGGAGAAUGUUAUCACGGGAGACACACGGCGGGUGCUAACGUCCGUCGUGAAGAGGGAAACAACCCAGACCGCCAGCUAAGGUCCCAAAGUCAUGGUUAAGUGGGAAACGAUGUGGGAAGGCCCAGACAGCCAGGAUGUUGGCUUAGAAGCAGCCAUCAUUUAAAGAAAGCGUAAUAGCUCACUGGUCGAGUCGGCCUGCGCGGAAGAUGUAACGGGGCUAAACCAUGCACCGAAGCUGCGGCAGCGACACUAUGUGUUGUUGGGUAGGGGAGCGUUCUGUAAGCCUGUGAAGGU
rnacentral:rRNA from 1 species